rnacentral:lncRNA from 10 species
CGUCUCGCCCGCCGCAGUUAGCAAAAGUCCGGCCAAAGUCGCCAGCAGUCUCAUGCUCAGAUGUCUCUGCUUGGGGAAACCAUGUUGUGAGCAAACCAACAGUGGGGGCCGUGUGGAGAGGAAGCCUCCUGCCAACGCCUUGCAAGUGAGCUUGCAAGUGGAUCCUCCAGCCCGAUGUCAAGAAUUCAGAGAGUAUGGCCUCAGCCAACAGCCUGAGAAACCCUGGCCCAGACCAUCCAGCCGGGUCAUCGCAGAUUCCCAACCCUCAGACAGCAUAUAAGAAAAUAAAUAUUUGCUCCUUUAAGCAGCUAAUUUUGCAGUAAUUUGUUAUACAGCAAUAGAUAACCAACACAGACCUCAGCCAGUCUAGUAUUGUCUACUGGGGCACUAUCUUUCUUCCUUGGUCUGAUAUCCCUAGUCUGUUUCUAAUUUUUUUGGUUUUUUUUUUUUUUUUGGUUUUUUGAGGCUCACUGCAGCCUUGAACUCCUGGGCGGACUCAAGCAAUCCUCCUGCCUUAGCCUCCCACACAGCUUGAACGACAGAUGCAUGCCACAAUAGCUGGCAAAUUUUAAGAAUUUUGCUAUUGAGAUGGGGGUCUCAACAUCUUGACCAGGCUGGUCUCAAACUGCUGGUCUGAAGCCAUCCUCCUGCCUUGGCCUCCCAAAGCUCUGGGAUUACAGGCACAAGCCACCAUGCCCAGUUUGUUUCUGGUCUUUUUUGAGGUGUGAUUUUCUUUCUCUUUUAAGACCCUGCCUCACCUGUGGGACCUGGCUGAUUUUCUUUUUUUCUUUUUUUUUUUUUUUUGAGACGGAGUUUGGCUCUGUCGCCUAAGCUGGAGUGCAGUGGCGUGAUCUCCUCUCACUGCACCCUCCACCUCCCAGGUUCAAGCAAUUAUCCUGCCUCGGCCUCCCGAGUAGCUGGGACUACAGGCCCACGCUGCCACGCCCGGCUAAUUUUUUGUAUUUUAGUAGAGAUGGGGGUUCACCGUGUUGCUCAGGCUGGUCGCGAACUCCUGAGCUCAGGCAAUCCGCCCACCUCGGCCUUCCAAAGUGCUGGGAUUACAGGCGUGAGCCACUGCGCCUGGCCGGUUGAUUAUUUUUUCUUAACUUUGACCUUUUGCUUUUCUCCUCCGCUAGGAUCCAGCCUCUCCCCUUGGUUGUUGCAGUCCCUGACUGAGGCUUUACAGCCUAGCGCAGACUCCUCGGUUCUCUCCAGCCCCAGAAUAGGAAUUCAGUUCUAGGCUGUGGAUUUCAAAUGUCAGAUAGCCAUUGGUGUCGACGUCUCUUGAUUAAUAUUUUAAAUACGAAAACAAGGCAAAAAAUUUCCCAGGGGAAAAUACUGCGUUUUUGAAUGUGUGUUUUUGAAUAUUCUUACUAUUAAUAAUAUCAUUGUCAUAUUUUAACCUUUCACUUGAGGAACAUAAGGAUUAUAAGAACAUGUAGAAGCAUGGAGGAGAUUUAGGAAAUCUGACUUAUACCUGAUAAAAAUGAGGCCCCUGAGGUUAUGUGAAGUUCCCAAGGUCACUCAGCGCUACGAAAGAGCAUUUCAGUGGAACAAGUAUGUCAAGGAUAAUGGAAGCUGAGAAAGGAUCUUUUGGGGAGGUGGGUGGGGCUUCCCUGAGGACGGCUAUCAUGCCUUUCUGUAUGAGUGAGUCCUAGUCCAGUUACCACAGGCUGGACACCGAAUGCAAUGAAGCAGCGAUAUGACUCGAGAUGCUGUUUCUUAUGUUUUUAUGUUACUUUUAGGUAUGACACAAAGUCUGGAUCAAAUAGCAGCUACUUGGCUGGGCACAGUAGCUCACGCCUGUAAUCCCAGUAAUUUGGGAGGCCGAGGCGGGUGGAUCACCUGAGGUCAGGAGUUCGAGACCAGCCUGGCCAACAUGGCAAAACUCCUUCUCUACUAAAAAUACAGAAAUCAGCCGGCCGUGGUGGCAGGCCUCUGUAAUCCCACCUACUGGGGAGGCUGAGGCAGGAGGAUCGCUUGAACCAGGGAGGCAGAGACUGCUGUGAGCUGAGAUCGCGCCACUGCACUACAGCCUGGGUUACAGAGCGAGACUCUGCAUCCAAAA